CAGUGACGUCAUUCUACGCGACUACCACAGGUGAAGGUGCUGCCCACCCAUGAUGCCAGCAAGGUGCGUGCAAGUGGAUCCGGCCUUAAAACCACUGGAGUGCCCACCUCUCUGCCAGUGAAGUUCAACAUUGAUGCCAAAGAUGCAGGACCCAGACGGGAAGCCCAAGAAGCAAAUAUCUGUGACAACCAUGAUGGGACCUACCCGGUGUCUUAUGUGCCAGACAUGACUGACAGAUACGCCACACUCAUUAAGUACGGAGGAGACGAGAUCCCUUAUUCACCCUACUGAAUCAGGGCUCUGCCCACCCGAGAUGCCAGCAAGUGCACUGUCACUGAAUGUUGUCCAGUGGCCAGUGGGAGAACUUUCUUUCAUCAUCAACAUCUGCAUCCACGAUCCACCAGCUCAACAGCAACAUCUGUCAGCUGUGCAUCCAACUCGAGGCCUUCGCCUGCUGUGCUCAGGCUCUGGGCCGCGAUUUCCGUCCCUUGUUGACGACCUCGCUGUAUCCUGUGCUGGAGAAAGCUGGUGAGGAGACGCUGCUGGUCAGCCAGGCGGCGCUGAGCUCCAUAUGGAACAUCAAUAAGGCUCCACCGGUGUUGACAGUUCUGUUGACUCACUCUGACUGCAGCCUGCUGGUCGGGGACAUCGUUCAGGAUCUGGAUCUCAGCUACGAGCGCACAGCUGCUCUUUUCUGCUCCGCGCUGCACGCGCUCAUGAAGGCACUGGCGAGGUGGUUUCCUUCCACUUGUAGCAGGACCAGUACGUCUGCCAGCUCCAGGAAAAGCUCCAGUGACCAGGAAGACCUCAGCAUUCGCCAAUUCCUGCUGAAUUACCGCAAACAGAAAGAAGUGGCAGAGGGCAUUGGAAUAGAGGACGAUGACACCGAAGACAGAGGAGUUGGAAAUGCUGAAGGAAGUGUCAGAAGCUUGUGAGUCCCUGAGCGAGGAGAAAAGCGGUUUCAAACACAGCCUCACUACUGGAGCCGAGGAGAGAAGCACACAUUACCUGAUCAACUGAAGAAGGUUAUGAGGUGAAUUGGAGACUUUCUCUCUCAGCUUGAUUCAUGAUGUCGUUUAGAGUGAUAAGACUCAUCAAAAUCACAGAGGAGGGUCUGAGCUAUGGUGGUGUUGAGACACAGACAACACAGCUUGGAAGUGUUUCACAGAAGUGUAAAGGACAGACAGAGGUGUGUGGUCACUGCAGUCACCAUGACACAGACUCCCUGAUUUAAUCCGAGCAUGACUGACAUGUUGGGCAAGUUUGUCUAAUUCUUUUUUAUGUAAAACAGAAAAGUGUCACUGUUAAAUUGGUGAGUCGAGAUUUUUUUACGUAAUUUUUUUUUGAGAAAUCAUGGGUGACAUUAAACAGGCAGUUGCAGAGCUUCUAUGUUUAACACUCACUUUGUUCCUUUAUAGAAGGAAAUUAUUUCAGCAGCAGAGCAAAGUGUUUUUUGGACAAUAAAUGUAAAGUAUAACAGAGAAUUUGAUACUUUAACCUCACUACAUUUAUUUCAUAGCUCAGAGUUCUAGUUAUUCAAAGAUGAGAAUUUAGAUGUGAAAUUGAACCUUUAAGUGACUAGUGCUUUGAGAACUGCCAUCAGUUACACAAUGAAGUUCAUUUACGUACAGGUUAUUGUAUUAGUAAUGCUAUAUUGUACAUAGAGACAGAAUAUGACAUGAAGGGCUACUGACCACAGAAAAGUAAAAGGUAACUGGGCCGAUAGACUAACGGGAGAGAAACAAGCUUUCUGUGAUUCUAUUUGUGUUUUUUUGUGGUAAUCUUGGAUAUCUUAGGUUGUCUCAUUACUGUCAUAUAUGUCCUAUCAUUAAAACACUGGCUUCUAACAACUAACAGUGUCUCGAAAAUAAUUUAAUAAAUAAACAAAUAAUAUGGAUGCAUGACUCAAAUGCAUGACUUUUAACUUGUGUAUUUUUUAGGCUGAACACUGCUGCUAAUGCGACUUAGGUAAAUGGUUUCAGGCUCUCCCCUCCUGAGUUUGAGAAACGUUCAGGAUCAGAAAAUGUGUGACUCACAGGUGCUGUAGCGUAUGGCCACAGCUUCACUCUGAGCUCCAUCUCCAUAGAGUGCAGACAGUGAUAUCUGAUACUCCUUAAGACACAGGACAACAGUUUAUUGACAUAUUGUAUUUUUACUUCAUAAUAUGUACUCCAACAAUCCAAUAGUUCUUCCCCACCUGUCUCAGGUUGCCUCCACUUAGUGAGGUAAGAAACAUCAUCAUCAGCUGCAGCUUCCCAGUCACUGUCUGAGAAAUUAGUUACCCUAAGGUCAGAAGGAGGAGGCACCUUCACUAGAAGAAAAGAAUAAAAAUGAGAAAGCUACAUUUUGACAUCUUUCAUUAUUAAUAACAUUUACAGUACUGUGCAAAAGUCGUGAGCCACACGCUGAAGUAUUUCUUUGGACAUUAUCUGGUUUUUCCACUCCUUUUUAGUCCAGUUCUUGUACCUGGCCAUUUUCUGAGUAAUGUUUUUUGUUUGUUUGUGCAAACACUUUGCACUGACCAUUAUUGGAGAAUUAAAAAGCACCUAAGUCAAGGAAUGUGUGUGCACAUAACAGAAAACUUGGGAAAGAACCAAUUUUAAAUCUUUAAGCACUUUGUUAC